rnacentral:rRNA from 1 species
UACGAAGGGGGCUAGCGUUGUUCGGAUUUACUGGGCGUAAAGCGCACGUAGGCGGAUUGCUAAGUCAGGGGUGAAAUCCCGGAGCUCAACUCCGGAACUGCCUUUGAUACUGGCGAUCUUGAGUCCGGGAGAGGUGAGUGGAACUGCGAGUGUAGAGGUGAAAUUCGUAGAUAUUCGCAAGAACACCAGUGGCGAAGGCGGCUCACUGGCCCGGUACUGACGCUGAGGUGCGAAAGCGUGGGGAGCAAACAGG